GAAGCAAACGACCAAAAAGUUACGAUACUGUUCCGUGGAAAUGUUUAUUUGCUUCCGUUACUCAUCAUCUCAUCUCCUUUGAAUAAUAAUUGAAACAAAUGAAUACUGUUUUAAGUUGAAGUGUACGAUGAAAAGCGAAGGUGGAGAGGCGAGGCAAGUGAUGAGACGAAGUGAUCCAAGAGGAUUUUCACACGCAAAUUUUCACGGUACAUCUCUUUGCAGAUAAAAGGUAUUCACGAUUUCUCGCGACGCCUCGAGAAAAGCACUUGAUCUCUCCAAAAGAGACACGAAUUUUCCGCACCUUUUAACCACUCGCAUACUUGCUCAGUUUUCCAUUCAGCGACAUUUACAUACGCCAUGGCCCGAUCACGUAUUUAAUUCACAAAAUCCUUUAUUGCUGAAGAUAUUCUGUUCUGGUUAAUAGUCGGGCUCUGCUCGUCCUCGGUCGUGUUGUUCCAAUUUCCAGGCUGCCCGUCGAUAACUACUACAUGUUACUACAGAGCCAAAUGACAGCGACUAUACUUAAGUAUGCCGACUGCUGAGUAUACCAUGCGAGACAAUGUAUUAUUUUUCUUUUCUGCUUUGUAAGAUUGUAAUCCUUUAUUACGAUUUCCAUUUCGUUCACUUUAUCAAUAAAUUAUGAUGUGAAAUCUUA